CAGGGGGUCGGGGCAGCAUUUGAGAGCUGACUCGCCUGUCCCCCUCACCCCCAGGGCUGGACAGCGAAUCUCACUACCGCCCGGAGCUGCCCGCACCGCGUACAGACUGGUCCCUGAGCGACGUGGAUCAGUGGGACGCGGCAGCCCUGGCUGACGGCAUUAAGAGCUUCCUGCUGGCACUGCCCGCGCCGCUCGUGACCCCCGAGGCCUCGGCCGAGGCGCGCCGGGCCCUGCGGGAGGCCGCGGGACCCGUGGGGCCGGCGCUGGAGCCACCGACGCUGCCGCUGCACCGCGCGCUCACGCUGCGCUUCCUGCUCCAGCACCUGGGCCGCGUGGCCCGCCGCGCCCCGGCCCUGGGUCCCGCGGUCCGGGCCCUGGGCGCCACCUUUGGGCCGCUGCUGCUGCGCGCGCCGCCGCCGUCCUC
rnacentral:sRNA from 1 species